rnacentral:rRNA from 1 species
UAAAACAUGGGAAGUCGAGGGGGGCAGUAAGGGGAGCUUUGUUUCCCGGAUGUUAGCUGCGGACGGGCGUAGUAACACGUUGGGUAACCUGCCUGUAAGACUGGGAUAACUCCGGGAAACCGGAGCUAAUACCGGAUAGUUCCUUGAACCGCAUGGUUCAAGGAUGAAAGACGGUUUCGGCUGUCACUUACAGAUGGACCCGCGGCGCAUUAGCUAGUUGGUGGGGUAAUGGCUCACCAAGGCGACGAUGCGUAGCCGACCUGAGAGGGUGAUCGGCCACACUGGGACUGAGACACGGCCCAGACUCCUACGGGAGGCAGCAGUAGGGAAUCUUCCGCAAUGGACGAAAGUCUGACGGAGCAACGCCGCGUGAGUGAUGAAGGUUUUCGGAUCGUAAAGCUCUGUUGUUAGGGAAGAACAAGUGCGAGAGUAACUGCUCGCACCUUGACGGUACCUAACCAGAAAGCCACGGCUAACUACGUGCCAGCAGCCGCGGUAAUACGUAGGUGGCAAGCGUUGUCCGGAAUUAUUGGGCGUAAAGGGCUCGCAGGCGGUUUCUUAAGUCUGAUGUGAAAGCCCCCGGCUCAACCGGGGAGGGUCAUUGGAAACUGGGAAACUUGAGUGCAGAAGAGGAGAGUGGAAUUUCCACGGGAAGCGGGAAAAUGCGGAAAAAUGUGGAGGAACACCAGUGGGCGAAAGGGCGACUCUCAGGGCUUGUAACUUGACGCU